UCGGACUGUAUAAGAAGUUGAAAAAGGAGGGAAAACAAGGCUGAAUAAACCCCCAAAAAGCCCUAGCACCAUCCCUACUCCAACCUCCAUUUUUCACAGAACUAUAAUGGCCAGGGUGCUUCGGAAUCUUUCUUCUUUCAGGCGUUCUCUGUUUACCCAGACACAGGAUCUUAGGACUGAUGUUGUUGGGGCAUAUACUCAGCUGUGCUACUUUUCUUCUAAAGGUAAAAGGAAAUCAAAGUCAGAUGAGAGUGAUUCGGGUGAUGAGAAUUUGUCAAAGAAAGACUUGGCUCUCAAACUAGCUCUGGAUCAGAUCACUAAAUCAUUUGGAAAGGGAUCCAUCAUGUGGCUGGGUCGUUCUGUCUCCCCUAAACAAGUUCCGGUGCUGUCUACAGGAUCUUUUUCGUUGGAUAUUGCAUUGGGGGUUGGUGGACUUCCAAAGGGACGUGUAAUAGAGAUAUAUGGCCCUGAGGCUUCUGGGAAAACAACACUUGCUUUGCAUAUAAUCGCCGAGGCACAACAACAAGGAGGUUAUUGCUGCUUUGUGGAUGCUGAGCAUGCUCUAGAUCCAGCAUUGGCUACAACUAUUGGGGUGAACACUGAAAAUUUACUUAUUUCUCAGCCAGAUUGUGGUGAACAAGCUCUUAGCCUUGUGGAUACUCUAGUCAGGAGUGGCUCAAUCGAUGUUGUUGUUGUAGACAGUCAGGUAGCCGCUCUUGUCCCAAAAGGUGAACUUGAAGGUGAAAUGGGAGAUGCACACAUGGCAAUGCAGGCUAGAUUAAUGAGUCAAGCACUGCGCAAGUUGAGCCAUUCUUUAUCUUUUGCACAGACUACUCUGAUCUUUAUAAAUCAGGUGAGAGCAAAGCUAUCUACUUUUGGAGGGUUUGGAGGACCUCAAGAAGUUACUUGUGGUGGAAACGCAUUAAAGUUUUACGCUUCUGUGCGUCUAAAUGUCAGGAGAGUUGGGCAGGUCAAGAAGGGGGAAGAGAUAAUAGGAAACCAAGUUGUUGUGAAAAUCGUAAAGAACAAGCUCGCCCCUCCAUUUAGAACUGCAGAGUUUCUGCUUGAGUUUGGCAAAGGAAUAUGUCGUGUAUCUGAGCUUAUAGAGUUAGGACUGAAACACAAAUUCAUUACAAAGACAGGGGGUGCGUUUUACAGCAUGAAUAACCAGAGCUUUCGUGGCAAGGAAGCAAUAAAAACAUAUUUAGCUGACAACAUUAGUGUAAGAGAAGAUCUUGAAAAAAAACUCCGGGAGAAACUUUUUGUUGAUCGAGAAAAGGAGGCUGUCCCAGAAGCUGUAGAUGGGGACGACCCCAUUGAAGAGGUUAUAUCAUCUGACGCGACUGAUGAUGAAAUUACAACUGCACUUGAGGCAUAAAAGUUGGCGGCUGAACAGAUUUUCUUCUUAGUGGAGGCCCUCCAGGCUCCAAUUUUGUGUCAAAUGUGCAAUUAGCUUGUGGUCAAUGGUUGCGUGCUGAUAGUCAAUUCAUGUUGCGUGUUGCAGCAUUAUUGGAAUUGUUUUGAAGUAUCCAAACCACGGUCUUCUAUUUAGGUUAAACAUAUAUGUAUUCUGUGGCACGUAGUUGGUCUAAAUUUUGAAUCACAAGGGAUAGGGGGUAUCAAGAAAGCAUAAUGAUACAUCACGCCUUUGACCUUUCAGGUUUGCACCAGAAUUUGUGGUCUGUAUGGUGCAAACAAGUACAUAACAAUCGAAGAUACCCUGUGGUGAACUGUAUAAGAUAGGGAUUGAUCAUUUGAUCUUGACCUCCUAUUGAAGAGAUAUUAAUGUUGUUAAUUAAGUUUUUAUGGUAAAAAAUUAUUGGUGUUGCUAAAACAUAUGAAUAUUACCAAGCUUCUUGGAAACAUCCUAGUUUCUUUUCCAUGUUGGUAAUUAAAUUUCCAAAAAUUUAUGUCAUCUCAAUGCUGCCUUGAACAAGAAAACAGAAGUUAGGGAUUGUGACUCCUUUGUGUUAUCGUGAAGACGUGAACAACAGGGA